rnacentral:lncRNA from 1 species
CGCCUUGCCAUAAAAAAAUCUCACACAAAUUAAAUUUUAUGAAUAAAUUAUUCAGAGGUAUACCCUUUCAAAUUUAAUAAGCCUCUGAUUUUCCUCUCUUGUACAAAUUUUAGAGUCACUCGUUUGCUUCGCCUUCUCUCUUCUUUCCUGUUGAAUGAGGACUCAUAACUCCCAAGUAAAGUAUGAAGCAACAGGAGUAGAAAGGACACAAUACAGCAAACUGUAGUCAAACCAACCUUCAGCUUCCUUUGCUAAAUUGCUAGGCAAUCAGAGAUAGGGUUCCUGGAUGUUCUGUAGCUCACUGCACAGCGAUAUGGACACGAGUCUUUCCUUAACGCUCACUUCUGUCUCUUUUCAGGAUGUCAGGUAAACAACACGUGUGCUCCAUGACCAGGAAGACGAUUGACUCUGAACAGACUCGUGGCAUAUGACUUCUGUUCUGCUCAAAUGAACUGAAACCAUGACACCGACCUUGAAGUACGAACAUUCUUAGGACACCUCUUCCUCUCUAUGUUUGCAAUUCUCCCAGGAAAGUUAUUUACACAUCACAGGUGUAUGCUGG